AUUGAACGCUGGCGGCAUGCUUUACACAUGCAAGUCGAGCGGCAGCGCGGGGGGCAACCCUGGCGGCGAGCGGCGAACGGGUGAGUAAUGCAUCGGAACGUACCCUGGAGUGGGGGAUAACGCCGCGAAAGCGGCGCUAAUACCGCAUAUGCUCUGAGGAGGAAAGUGGGGGACCUGCAAGGGCCUCACGCUCUGGGAGCGGCCGAUGUCCGAUUAGCUAGUUGGUGGGGUAAAGGCUUACCAAGGCGACGAUCGGUAGCUGGUCUGAGAGGAUGAUCAGCCACACUGGGACUGAGACACGGCCCAGACUCCUACGGGAGGCAGCAGUGGGGAAUUUUGGACAAUGGGGGCAACCCUGAUCCAGCCAUGCCGCGUGAGUGAAGAAGGCCUUCGGGGUUGUUAAAGGACUCUUUUUGGUUCGGGGUAAGGAAAAGGUAGGCCUUGCCUAACAGUGGGUAGUUUGACGGUACCGGAGAAUAAGCACCGGCUAACUACGUGCCAGCAG
rnacentral:rRNA from 1 species